rnacentral:tmRNA from 1 species
GGGGGCGCAACGGAUUCGACGGGAUCGAAUCGUGACAGGAAGGCGUGCCGGGUUCCGAGCUCCCGUUAAACGAUCGGAAAAACACAACUGCCAACACGCAGUUUGCAUACGCUGCUUAAUUAAAUAAGCGGCCGCUCCAGCCGUUGAGCCAGCGCGGCGGUGAGUGAGCGUCAUCUUGCUGGAUAGGUCGAGGGCUUCUGCUCGUAGCCUCAGAUCGAGAUCAAUCGGGCUGGACGGCCGUCCUUUCUGCCGGGUCUAGGGCGGCGGUCGAAACUCAAGAGCCGGCUACGCACGUAGUUCUUUUUGUUGCGGGCUUUCUCGGACGCGGGUUCAACUCCCGCCGCCUCCACCA